rnacentral:rRNA from 1 species
AUUGAACUCUGGCGGCAGGCCUACCCCAUGCAAGUCGAACGAGUGGCGGAAGGGUGGGUAAUGUCUGGGAAACUGCCCGAUGGAGGGGGAUGACUCCUGGAAACGGUCGCUAAUACCGCAUACCAUCGGAUGUGCACAGAUGGGAUUAGCUAGUAGGUGGGGUAAAGGCUCACCUAGGCGACGAUCCCUAGCUGGUCUGAGCGGAUGACCAGCCAAACGGGAACUGAGACACGUUCCAGAGUCCUACGGGAGGCAGCAUUGGGGAAUAUUGCACAAUGGGCGCUAGCCUGAUGGAGCCAUGGCGCCUGCGUCAAGAAGGCCUUCGUGUUGUCAAGUACUUCCAGCGGUGAGGCGGUACCGGCAUAAGAAGCACCUGCUAACGUCGUGCCAGCAGCCGCGGUAAUUC